UGACUCCCUGAGAGUCCUGAAGGAACGUUGAAGACGACGACGUUGAUAGGCCGGGUGUGUAAGCGCAGCGAUGCGUUGAGCUAACCGGUACUAAUGAACCGUGAGGCUUAACCUU
rnacentral:rRNA from 1 species